rnacentral:rRNA from 1 species
CGACGAUCGGUAGCCGGACUGAGAGGUUGAACGGCCACAUUGGGACUGAGACACGGCCCAGACUCCUACGGGAGGCAGCAGUGGGGGAUAUUGCACAAUGGGCGAAAGCCUGAUGCAGCAACGCCGCGUGAGGGAAGACGGUUUUCGGAUUGUAAACCUCUGUUCUAAGUGACGAACAAAUGACGGUAGCUUAGGAGAAAGCCCCGGCUAACUACGUGCCAGCAGCCGCGGUAAUACGUAGGGGGCAAGCGUUGUCCGGAAUUACUGGGUGUAAAGGGAGCGCAGGCGGAGAAGCAAGUCAGUGGUGAAAACGAUGGGCUUAACUCAUCGACUGCCAUUGAAACUGUUUCCCUUGAGUGAAGUAGAGGCAGGCGGAAUUCCGAGUGUAGCGGUGAAAUGCGUAGAUAUUCGGAGGAACACCAGUGGCGAAGGCGGCCUGCUGGGCUUUAACUGACGCUGAGGCUCGAAAGUGUGGGGAGCAAACAGGAUUAGAUACCCUGGUAGUCCACACUGUAAACGA